rnacentral:rRNA from 1 species
UACAGAGGUCUCAAGCGUUUGUUCGGAUUCAUUGGGCGUAAAGGGUGCGUAGGCGGCGCGGUAAGUCGGGUGUGAAAUCUCGGAGCUUAACUCCGAAACUGCAUUCGAUACUGCCGCGCUUGAGGACUGGAGAGGAGACUGGAAUUUACGGUGUAGCGGUGAAAUGCGUAGAUAUCGUAAGGAAGACCAGUGGCGAAGGCGGGUCUCUGGACAGUUCCUGACGCUGAGGCACGAAGGUCAGGGGAGCAAACGGG